AGAGUUUGAUCCUGGCUCAGGACGAACGCUGGCGGCGUGCCUAACACAUGCAAGUCAGGGAGAAAAGGGUAGCAAUAUCCUGAGUAAACCGGCGAACGGGUGAGUAACACGUAGGCAACCUACCUUGUAGACGGGGAUAACCUCGGGAAACCGAAGCUAAUACUCGAUAUUGUUAUGAUGUAGCAUUGCAAUAUAAUGAAAGGCUCGCAAGAGCGCUACAAGAUGGGCCUGCGUCCCAUUAGAUAGUUGGCGGGGUAAUGGCCCACCAAGUCGACGAUGGGUAGCUGGUCUGAGAGGACGAUCAGCCACACUGGAACUGAGACACGGUCCAGACUUCUACGGAAGGCAGCAGUGAGGAGUAUUGCUCAAUGGGCGAAAGCCUGAAGCAGCGACGCCGCGUGAGGGAUGAAAUCCGUUAGGAUGUAAACCUCUUUUGCAGGGGAAGAAUGUUCCGACUUCGGUCGGAAUUGACGGUACUCUGCGAAUAAGCACCGGCAAACUACGUGCCAGCAGCCGCGGUAAUACGUAGGGUGCGAGCGUUGUCCGGAAUUACUGGGUGUAAAGGGUCCGCAGGCGGAUUCGUAAGUCGAUGGUGAAAUCUUCUGGCUCAACCAGGAGUCUGCUGUCGAUACUAUGGAUCUUGAGUUCGAGAGAGGAUAAUGGAAUUCAUGGUGUAGCGGUGAAAUGCGUAGAGAUCAUGAAGAACACCGGUAGCGAAGGCGGUUAUCUGGCUCGAAACUGACGCUCAGGGACGAAAGCGUGGGUAGCAAACAGGAUUAGAUACCCUGGUAGUCCACGCCUUAAACGAUGGAUGUUCGGUGUCGGCCCGCGAGGGUCGGUGCCUGAGCUAACGCGUUAAACAUCCCACCUGGGGAGUACGAUCGCAAGGUUGAAACUCAAAGGAAUUGACGGGGGCCCGCACAAGCAGUGGAGCAUGUGGUUCAUUCGAUGCAACGCGAAGAACUUACCUGGGUUUGAAAGGCAAGUGACAACUGAUGAAAGUCAGUCUUGUAGCAAUACACACUUGUACAGGUGCUGCAUGGCUGUCGUCAGCUCGUGCCGUGAGGUGUUAGGUUAAGUCCUGCAACGAGCGCAACCCUGCACUUAGUUGCCAUCAGGUCAAGCUGGGCACUCUAGGUGGACUGCCUACACGCAAGUAGUGAGGAAGGUGGGGAUGACGUCAAGUCCUCAUGGCCCUUACACCCAGGGCCACACACGUGCUACAAUGGACGCCACAAAGGGCUGCUAAGACGCAAGUCGGAGCCAAUCCCAAAAAAGCGUCCUCAGUUCGGAUUGGGGUCUGCAACUCGACCCCAUGAAGCUGGAAUUGCUAGUAAUCGCGGAUCAGCACGCCGCGGUGAAUACGUUCCCGGGCCUUGUACACACCGCCCGUCAAGCCAUGGAAACUGGGGGUACCCGAAGUCACUGACUGAACCCGCAAGGGACAGAGGUGCCUAAGGUAAAACCAGCGACUGGGGCUAAGUCGUAACAAGGUA
rnacentral:rRNA from 1 species